rnacentral:misc_RNA from 1 species
AUGCGAUAAGUAAUAUGAAUUGCAGAUAUUCGUGAAUCAUCGAAUCUUUGAACGCACAUUGCGCCCUUUGGUAUUCCAAAGGGCAUGCCUGUUUGAGCGUCAUUUCUCCCUCAAACCCUCGGGUUUGGUGUUGAGCGAUACGCUGGGUUUGCUUGAAAGAAAGGCGGAGUAUAAACUAAUGGAUAGGUUUUUUCCACUCAUUGGUACAAACUCCAAAACUUCUUCCAAAUUCGACCUCAAAUCAGGUAGGACUACCCGCUGAACUUAA